rnacentral:rRNA from 1 species
CAACUUCUAACGGUGGAUCUCUUGGCUCG